AUGGGGGCGCGGACGCCGAGCGCUCCGGCGGGGUCCAGCGCGCUGGUCAGGCUCGGGCUGCUGGGCGGCGCGGGGCAACAAGACCCGCCACAAGUCGUCUUCAAGCGCCUCGAGGGGAUCAAGCAAAAGGUGUACGCCGAGGGGACCCAAAUCGUCAUCAGUGGCUCCAGAAGCCGAUCAUCUACGACGUCUGCGCACGACCCAACCCAAGCUGGUGGAGAACACCUUCGGGAGCCGGGAUUGGCCGUGAGCAGGGAGAUCAGGAAGGUGCUGACAGAGAGGGCAAAGAAUUUCAACAUUGCUCUGGAUGAUGUGUCCAUUACCAGUCUCAGCUUUGGUAAAGAGUUCACUCAUGCCAUUGAAGCCAAACAGGUUGCUGCUCAGAAAGCUGAGCGUGCCAAGUUCAUUGUUGAGAAGGCUGAGCAAGACAAGAGAAGUGCAAUUGUCAGGGCACAGGAAGCGCUCUCCCGAUGGAGCGCCUGUGUUCGGCUGGCUCCGCUCCGUGAGAACGUGGGCUGGCAGCGCAUUACAGUCAAGUAUGGGCUGUUCAGGUGGACUUUCAGUGGUAUGUUUGUACGAUUGAACAUAGUUUCAGACUUCCAGUGGUAUGUUGGCUGUGAGCAGGGAGAUCAGGGAGAUUUUGACAGUGAGGCUAAGAAUUUCAAUAUUGCUCUGGAUGGUGUGUCCGUUACUAGUCUCAAUUUUGGUAAAGAGUUCACUCAUGCCAUUGAAGCUGAACAGGUUGCUGCACACCAAGCUGAGCAUGCCAAAUUCAUUGUUGAGAAGGCUGAGCAAGACAAGAAAAGCGCAAUUGUUCUUUAUGCCCCGUUGACAGUUUCAGUCAUAGUUACUACCACCGGUAAGCAAAACAGGAACUAG
rnacentral:rRNA from 1 species